GGUCGAAGGAGGAAAUUCAUUCGCGUUUCGAUCGUCGGCGUUUGACGGGUUUCGUGACGGACGGCGUUCGCGUCGUUCGCUCAGCUCGUUUUUCGAACCGAUAUCGAACGCGUGCACUUUUCCUCUUGUAGGACGUUGCGAUCCGUUGGGUGUCGGUCUAAGGUCCGGGGUGGAGCCCACGUGAAUUUUUCGCGUGGACCCUCGGUAUCCCGGCCGACUCGCUCGACGGUAUAACGAUGGCGCGGGGCCGCUACUUUAUAAUUAGCGUUCGGCUCGUGGCAAGCGCGUCCGGUGUUUGACGGCGAUCGGACCUAGCGCCGAUCCUGUCCCCGGGCGACUGUUGGCUACGAUGUUCUCGAACAGACCUCG
rnacentral:rRNA from 1 species